UACGUAGGGUGCAAGCGUUGUUCGGAAUCACUGGGCGUAAAGGGCGCGUAGGCGGCCUCAGGUGUCGGAUGUGAAAGCCCGGGGCUCAACCCCGGAGGUGCAUCCGAAACUCUGGGGCUGGAGGUCGGAAGAGGAGGGUGGAAUACCCAGUGUAGAGGUGAAAUUCGUAGAUAUUGGGUGGAACACCGGUGGCGAAAGCGGCUCUCUGGUCCGGACCUGACGCUGAGGCGCGAAAGCGUGGGGAGCAAACAGG
rnacentral:rRNA from 1 species